GGUUAAGCGAAUAAGCGUACACGGUGGAUGCCUAGGCAAUCAGAGGCGAUGAAGGACGUGCUAAUCUGCGAAAAGCGUCGGUAAGGUGAUAUGAACCGUUAUACCCGACGAUAUCCGAAUGGGGAAACCCAGUAUCCAAUGGAUACUAUCAUUAACUGAAUCCAUAGGUUAAUGAGGCGAACCGGGAGAACUGAAACAUCUCAGUACCCCGAGGAAAAGAAAUCAACCGAGAUUCCCCUAGUAGCGGCGAGCGAACGGGGAGCAGCCCAGAGUCUUAAUCAAUAGCAGUGUCAGGAGAACGGUCUGGAAAGUCCGGCAGUAAAGGGUGAUAGCCCCGUAUCUGAAGAUGCUGUUAUUGUGAACUCGACGAGUAGGGCGGGACACGUGUUAUCCUGUCUGAAUAUGGGGGGACCAUCCUCCAAGGCUAAAUACUCCUGAUUGACCGAUAGUGAACCAGUACCGUGAGGGAAAGGCGAAAAGAACCCCGGCGAGGGGAGUGAAAAAGAACCUGAAACCGUGUACGUACAAGCAGUAGGAGCCUCUUUAUGGGGUGACUGCGUACCUUUUGUAUAAUGGGUCAGCGACUUAUAUUCUGUAGCAAGGUUAACCGUAUAGGGGAGCCGUAGGGAAACCGAGUCUUAACUGGGCGAAUGAGUUGCAGGGUAUAGACCCGAAACCCGGUGAUCUAUCCAUGGGCAGGUUGAAGGUUGGGUAACACUAACUGGAGGACCGAACCGACUAAUGUUGAAAAAUUAGCGGAUGACUUGUGGAUGGGGGUGAAAGGCCAAUCAAACCGGGAGAUAGCUGGUUCUCCCCGAAAGCUAUUUAGGUAGCGCCUCGUGAACUCAUCUUCGGGGGUAGAGCACUGUUUCGACUAGGGGGUCAUCCCGACUUACCAACUCGAUGCAAACUGCGAAUACCGAAGAAUGUUAUCACGGGAGACACACGGCGGGUGCUAACGUCCGUCGUGAAGAGGGAAACAACCCAGACCGCCAGCUAAGGUCCCAAAGUCAUGGUUAAGUGGGAAACGAAGUGGGAAGGCUCAGACAGCCAGGAUGUUGGCUUAGAAGCAGCCAUCAUUUAAAGAAAGCGUAAUAGCUCACUGGUCGAGUCGGCCCGCGCGGAAGAUGUAACGGGGCUAAACCAUGCACCGAAGCUGCGGCAGCGACACAAAGUGUUGUUGGGUAGGGGAGCGUUCUGUAAGCCUGCGAAGGUGUACUGUGAGGUAUGCUGGAGGUAUCAGAAGUGCGAAUGCUGACAUAAGUAACGAUAAUGCGGGUGAAAAACCCGCACGCCGGAAGACCAAGGGUUCCUGUCCAACGUUAAUCGGGGCAGGGUGAGUCGACCCCUAAGGCGAGGCUGAAAAGCGUAGUCGAUGGGAAACGGGUUAAUAUUCCCGUACUGGUGGUAACUGCGAUGGGGGAACGGAGAAGGCUAGGUUGUCCGGGCGACGGUCGUCCCGGUUCAAGCAGGUAGGCAGAGUGAUUAGGCAAAUCCGGUCACUUAAUGCUGAGAUGUGAUGACGAACCACUAAGGUGGUGAAGCAAUUGAUGCCCCGCUUCCAGGAAAAGCCUCUAAGCUUCAGGUUACCAACAAUCGUACCCCAAACCGACACAGGUGGUCAGGUAGAGAAUACUCAGGCGCUUGAGAGAACUCGGGUGAAGGAACUAGGCAAAAUGGUGCCGUAACUUCGGGAGAAGGCACGCUGGCGGUAGGUAAAGUCCCUUGCGGACGGCGCUGAAGCCAGUCGAAGAUACCAGCUGGCUGCAACUGUUUAUUAAAAACACAGCACUGUGCAAACACGAAAGUGGACGUAUACGGUGUGACGCCUGCCCGGUGCUGGAAGGUUAAUUGAUGGGGUUAGCGCAAGCGAAGCUCCUGAUCGAAGCCCCAGUAAACGGCGGCCGUAACUAUAACGGUCCUAAGGUAGCGAAAUUCCUUGUCGGGUAAGUUCCGACCUGCACGAAUGGCGUAAUGAUGGCCAGGCUGUCUCCACCCGAGACUCAGUGAAAUUGAACUCGCUGUGAAGAUGCAGUGUACCCGCGGCAAGACGGAAAGACCCCGUGAACCUUUACUAUAGCUUGACACUGAACAUUGAGCCUUGAUGUGUAGGAUAGGUGGGAGGCUUUGAAGUGUGGACGCCAGUCUGCAUGGAGCCAACCUUGAAAUACCACCCUUUAACGUUUGAUGUUCUAACCUAGGCCCAUAAACUGGGUCGGGGACCGUGUCUGGUGGGUAGUUUGACUGGGGCGGUCUCCUCCUAAAGAGUAACGGAGGAGCACGAAGGUUGGCUAAGCAUGGUCGGACAUCAUGCGGUUAGUGCAAAGGCAUAAGCCAGCUUGACUGCGAGAGUGACGGCUCGAGCAGGUACGAAAGUAGGUCUUAGUGAUCCGGUGGUUCUGAAUGGAAGGGCCAUCGCUCAACGGAUAAAAGGUACUCCGGGGAUAACAGGCUGAUACCGCCCAAGAGUUCAUAUCGACGGCGGUGUUUGGCACCUCGAUGUCGGCUCAUCACAUCCUGGGGCUGAAGUAGGUCCCAAGGGUAUGGCUGUUCGCCAUUUAAAGUGGUACGCGAGCUGGGUUUAGAACGUCGUGAGACAGUUCGGUCCCUAUCUGCCGUGGGCGUUGGAAGAUUGAGAGGGGUUGCUCCUAGUACGAGAGGACCGGAGUGAACGCACCACUGGUGUUCGGGUUGUCAUGCCAAUGGCAUUGCCCGGUAGCUAAGUGCGGAAGAGAUAACCGCUGAAAGCAUCUAAGCGGGAAACUUGCCUCGAGAUGAGUCUUCCCUGUCGCUUUAAGCGACCUAAAGGAACGUUUAAGACUAAGACGUUGAUAGGCUGGGUGUGUAAGCGUAGCGAUACGUUGAGCUAACCAGUACUAAUGAACCGUGAGGCUUAACCUG
rnacentral:rRNA from 1 species